rnacentral:rRNA from 1 species
GAUGAACGCUGGCGGCGUGCCUAAUACAUGCAAGUCGAGCGAACAGAUAAGGAGCUUGCUCCUUUGACGUUAGCGGCGGACGGGUGAGUAACACGUGGGUAACCUACCUAUAAGACUGGAAUAACUCCGGGAAACCGGCGCUAAUGCCGGAUAACAUUUAGAACCGCAUGGUUCUAAAGUGAAAGAUGGUUUUGCUAUCACUUUAAGAUGGACCCGCGCCGUAUUAGCUAGUUGGUAAGGUAACGGCUUGCCAAGGCAACGAUACGUAGCCGACCUGAGAGGGUGAUCGGCCACACUGGAACUGAGACACGGUCCAGACUCCUACGGGAGGCAGCAGUAGGGAAUCUUCCGCAAUGGGCGAAAGCCUGACGGAGCAACGCCGCGUGAGUGAUGAAGGGUUUCGGCUCGUAAAACUCUGUUAUUAGGGAAGAACAAACGUGUAAGUAACUGUGCACGUCUUGACGGUACCUAAUCAGAAAGCCACGGCUAACUACGUGCCAGCCGCCGCCGUAACAC